rnacentral:rRNA from 1 species
UCAAGCAGAAAGGGCACAGGGCGGAUGCCUUGGCACUAAGGGCCGAAGAAAGACGUGAUAAGCUGCGAUAAGCUUCGGGGAGGAGCAAAUAUCCAUUGAUCCGGAGAUCUCUGAAUGGGGAAACCCACAUGAGCAAACCUCAUGUAUCCAUACGCCAAUCCAUAACGUAUGGAGGGGAACCCGGGGAACUGAAACAUCUAAGUACCCGGAGGAAAAGAAAGAAAACUCGAUUCCGUAAGUAGCGGCGAGCGAACGCGGAAGAGCCUAAACCGGUGUGCGUGCACACCGGGGUUACGGACUGCAUUUAAGAUUCUGCAAUGUUAGUGGAACGGUUUUGGGAAAGCCGGCCGGAGAGGGUGAAAGCCCCGUAGACGAAAACAGAGCAGACUGAGCAGGAUCCAGAGUACCGCGGGACACGAGAAACCCUGCGGGAAGUGAGGGGGACCACCCCCUAAGGCUAAAUACCACUUAGUGACCGAUAGCGCAUAGUACUGUGAAGGAAAGGUGAAAAGGACCCCGGGAGGGGAGUGAAAGAGAACCUGAAACCCUGUGUCUACAAGCUGUGGGAGUGCUUUAUAUGCACGACCGCGUACUUUUUGUAGAACGGUCCGGCGAGUUGCGCUCACUGGCAAGGUUAAGAUCUUAAGGAUCGGAGCCGUAGGGAAACCAAGUCUUAACAGGGCCAGAGUCAGUGGGGGCAGACCCGAAACCGGGUGAUCUAUCCAUGUCCAGGUUGAAGCUGCCGUAAGAGGCAGUGGAGGACCGAACCCACAUCCGUUGAAAAGGGUGGGGAUGAGGUGUGGAUAGGGGAGAAAUUCCAAUCGAACCCGGAGAUAGCUGGUUCUCCUCGAAAUAGCUUUAGGGCUAGCCUUGGUAGAGAUUUGCGGAGGUAGAGCACUGAAUUUCCUAGGGGGCGUCAAAGCCUACCGAAGAAUAUCAAACUCCGAAUGCCGUGUAAUUACUUACCAGGAGUCAGACUACACGAGAUAAGUUGGGUGGUCAAAAGGGAAAGAGCCCAGACCUUCAGUUAAGGUCCCAAAGUGUGCGUUAAGUGGAAAAGGAUGUGGGAUUUCGAAGACAACCAGGAUGUUGGCUCAGAAGCAGCCAUUCAUUCAAAGAGUGCGUAAUAGCUCACUGGUCGAGAGGUCCUGCGCCGAAAAUGUCCGGGGCUGAAACGCACCACCGAAACUAAGGGAUCCGAAAGGAUCGGUAGAGGAGCAUUGCAUGCGGGACGAAGCAGUACCGUAAGGAGCUGUGGACUGCAUGGAAGAGAGAAUGCCGGAAUGAGUAGCGAGAUAGAGGUGAGAAUCCUCUAGGCCGAAUAUCCAAGGUUUCCAGGGUAAAGCUGAUCUGCCCUGGGUAAGUCGGGGCCUAAGGCGAGGACGAGAGUCGUAGCCGAUGGACAACAGGUGGAGAUUCCUGUACUAUGAUAUGACAGAACUGUGGGGACACGUGCAGAGAGCGGAAGCCGGGAAUGGGAUCCCGGUGCAAGCGAGGUACCAGCCGCAUUGGAAAAACCGUGCGGCAAUGGGAAGACGUGAUGCGGAGUGAAGUUUAGUAAUGAAGUCCGUGAGCUGUGCGUCAAGAAAAGCCGCUAUUGUUUAUACCGUACCCGUACCGUAAACCGACACAGGUGGAUGAGGAGAGAAUCCUAAGGCCGGCGGAAGAAGCAUUGUCAAGGAACUCGGCAAAAUGACCCCGUAACUUCGGGAGAAGGGGUGCCUGCGAGAGCAGGCCGCAGAGAAUAGGCUCAAGCAACUGUUUAGCAAAAACACAGGUCUAUGCGAAACCGAAAGGUGAGGUAUAUGGGCUGACGCCUGCCCGGUGCUGGAAGGUUAAGAGGAGAGGUUAGCGGUAACGCGAAGCUUUGAAUUUAAGCCCCAGUAAACGGCGGCCGUAACUAUAACGGUCCUAAGGUAGCGAAAUUCCUUGUCGGGUAAGUUCCGACCCGCACGAAAGGCGUAAUGAUUUGAGCGCUGUCUCGACAAUGCAUCCGGUGAAAUUGAAGUACCAGUGAAGAUGCUGGUUACCUGCGCCAGGACGGAAAGACCCCAUGGAGCUUUACUCCAGUUUGGUACUGGGAUCCGGUACUGCAUGUACAGGAUAGGUGGGAGGCUGAGAAUCGGUAACGCCAGUUGCCGAGGAGCCGCUGUUGGGAUACCACCCUUGCAGUAUUGGGUUUCUAACCAGCCGCCGUGACCCGGCGGUGGGACAAUGCCAGACGGGGAGUUUGACUGGGGCGGUCGCCUCCGAAAGGGUAUCGGAGGCGCCCAAAGGUUCCCUCAGAAUGGACGGAAACCAUUCGAAGAGUGCAAAGGCAGAAGGGAGCUUGACUGCGACACCGACGGGUGGAGCAGGUACGAAAGUAGGGCUUAGUGAUCCGGUGGUAUUAAGUGGGAAUGCCAUCGCUCAACGGAUAAAAGCUACCCUGGGGAUAACAG